CUCAAGUUGAUAGAUAUUAUUUUGGGGGGAGCUAUGACUUUUGUUCAGAGAGCUACACACUGACCUUGGACUGAAACUUAAUUUAGUUUCUCCUCUCGUUUUGCAUAUUUUUCCUAUUUUUAAAAAAGUAGAAAGUACUGUCUGAAAGAGACGCUGUUUUAAAGCUGUAUCUCUAUUCUCCAUUGAAACGCAUCUACAAACAGACGUGUGUGGUUUGUGUGCAAUCUGUGAACUCGUGUAUUCGUAGUUUGCGUCACAUUCUUUGCACAUAUUCUUUCCCAGUCUUUCAAAGGCAUUUAUGCAAGUGAGGGGUUUGAACAAGACAGAGCGCCGUCUUCCUGCAGAGGAAAACAGUCAUUCUAGAAAGACAAGCCCCCUCCAAAUAGAAAUCUUAUUGUUUCGCCACUAUUGAGACCAGAAGACGGACGGCCCCCGCCAUAUCACAUGAUUGAGUUAUCGCAUGAGAAAGUCAAAAUAACCAAUCAACAUAUUUUCACGUGGAGACGGAGCCAUGUCUGCUGUGCGGGGAAUCUUUAAGAUCCGCCGGUUCAGCUCGACUGGGCCCAGUUGUCUUGCUUUCACACUGACGACUGUCUGGGAAAGGUCUGUCUGGGGUUCAAGUACAUUAAAGUCAUCCGCUCGACUCCCACUGAGCCUCGACACAGAUGGCUCCAGAUGCAGCCGGCACAGCACGGAGCAGCACCUGACAGCCAGCGCUAUUUUACACACACACACACACACACACACACACACACAUGCACACGCACAGCCACACACAUCAGUACCACACAGGCAAGCGUAAACACAAAUACAAAAAAAUUACAACUUGGACCUCAGGUAUGGCCAGUAUCGCUCACUUCUGUAAAUGUGUGUAAACACUAAUGGAACCACAUAUUCAUCCACAUACAGUACACACGGUCACAGCAGGAACAUAUGCUGCAAAACUCAUCUGCAAAUCCUCACUGUGGUACACACUGGGACAAGCAAGACACAGAUUACAACACGGCACGCUUGCAUGUAAACCAACACAUAUUGCACAAACAUAUGCCAAGACAGGCCGAUGCGUUUGUUAGCAGCAUGUGGAAAAGCCUUCGAUCUGUGCAGGAGGAAGCAGGAAAAAACAGGAACAGCACAAAAACAUGCGAGCAGUUUAAGUUCAAAAGGGCCACUGUAUUAUGCAACCUGCAAUGGAAGAUCACCAGAAAUGUUCACAUCCCCAGAGCUACUGUUUUUGGAAAUAGAUUUUUUUUUUUUUUUUUUUGCGCAUUGUCUUUUUGACUUUUUGCACCAAAAUAAAGAUUAAAACCACAGCAAAGCACAGACUCCCUUUUGUAUGAUUUCAUAAAAAGAAUUUAAUUUUUCUUCCAGUAUGUGUAGGUUUAUGGCAUGGUUUUUCCGUGCAUUGUAUCCACAUUCUGUGUGGAGUGAGUUGCUGCAGGACUUUUUUGUUUAGUUUUAUGUUUUUUAGUUUGACUUUUUUUGUUUUUUAGUUUGAGCCCCAUGGCCCUUGUGUUGCUGGAAGGUGCCAUUCAGUCAUACCAUAAUUGCAGAGCACAAUGUGCACUCUGAUACCACUCCCCGCACAAAUGAAUCUUAAUUGUUUUUUUAUCGACAAUGAAAUUGCAAAAGAUUGUGGCCUGUUAUCUACAUCUUGAAUUGAUUUGACCAUGUUGAUUCUACAAUCUGAUCUCUGAUGCUUCUUUGUUGCAAUUAGUAGAAGUGCACGAUUAAGAGGCACAGCCUUUGUUUUACAUCAGUUAUCUCAACUGCAUCUUCUCUAUUGACGUUAGUUCACAUCCUCAUGUUGCGAAGUUUCAUGUCACAAAGCCUGUGAAUAGCGUUAGUCUGAUCUGUGUCAGCAGGUGCCCUGAUGCAAAAAGAAACACCCUAUAGUCUAAACAUCCAGAAAACAAAGGAGAUGAUCAUGGACUUCAGGAAAGUCACAGCCCGACGGUGCCCCUUCAUACUCAGACUCCCCCAUCUUCAUGGUGGACUCCUUCCGCUUUCUGAGGAGCGUCAUCACCCGGGACUUCAAGUGGGAGCUGACCAUCAUCAAGCUCAAGGUCAUUAUCAAGAUGUUGGUCAAGUUGUACAUGACCAUCAUCAGGUCCAUCCUCACCUUGUCCAGCACUGUGUGCUUCGCUGGUGGCAUUGCCAGGGAUUGGCUUAGACUACAGCGCACUGGGAAUUAUGAUAAAAAGUGAUUGGCAGCAGACUCCCGUCCAUCCAGGACUUGUAUCUCUCCAGGACUCAAGAGGAUCUAGGUCAGGUUAUAGCACGGCCUUACACAGCCAGUUCGACCCUCUUCCCUCAGGAAAGUUCAUUUGGACCAAAACCUAGACCACAACAAAUGCAAAUGAAAUGUCUGCACUCUAUUUAGUGGCACUAUCGUUUUUUUUAUUGUUGCUUUAUCAUAAUAGAUAUUUGGAAAGUUGUCUAUGUGAAGCCAAACAAAAACAAUAAAAUUGCCAUGAAUGUACCAUUUCUCCAUCACUGCUUGUCACCUGACAAAAAAAAAUCACAGCAAUUUUUAAAGUACAUUAUUAGACCUUACCUAGGGUACAUUUACAGAAAUAUACUGCAAGUACCAUUUUUUUUGCAUGUGCUAAUAAAGAUAUAUGUAGUGUAUGUUAACUUGUAGGGUUUAUGUCUGUAUUUCUUUUUUUUUUAAUGAAUAAAUAACGUGUGAGUCAAAGGCAAAUCUGAAUUUAGAUUUAUGAACCUAGGCAAUACAAAUGAUCAUGCAUUUUCCAGUGUAAAGCAAUUAGAGAAAUAACAAUGUAUAUGCACUCUUGUAUAACAAAUCUGGAUUCCUUUCAUUUUUACAUUUGUUUUGAUCUGCUUUUAGGGCUUAAUGAUUUACUCAAAGUAUACAUAUAAAGAGAAAAAAUGAAAGGCUUGAUCACUAACA